UACAGAGGGGGCAAGCGUUGUUCGGAAUUACUGGGCGUAAAGGGCGCGUAGGCGGCCUUCUAAGUCGAACGUGAAAUCCCCGGGCUCAACCCGGGAACUGCGUCCGAUACUGGAAGGCUUGAAUCCGGGAGAGGGAUGCGGAAUUCCUGGUGUAGCGGUGAAAUGCGCAGAUAUCAGGAGGAACACCGAUUGCGAAGGCAGCUCGCUGGAACGUUACUGACGCUGAGACGCGAAAGCGUGGGGAGCAAACAGG
rnacentral:rRNA from 1 species